AAUGAAUGUUGGCGGCGUGGAUUAGGCAUGCAAGUCGUGCGGGUAUAGCAAUAUAUCAGCGGCGAAAGGGUGAGUAACACGUAGUUACCUGCCUCAGGGACUGGGAUAGCUGGCCGAAAGGCCAGGUAAUACCGGAUAAUAUCUAUGGAUCAAAGGUGUGAUUCCGCCCUGAGAGGGGACUGCGUCCUACUAGCUUGUUGGUAGGGUAAUGGCCUACCAAGGCAACGAUGGGUAGUGGGCGUGAGAGCGUGGCCCACCACACUGGGACUGAGACACUGCCCAGACACCUACGGGUGGCUGCAGUCGAGAAUCUUCGGCAAUGAGCGCAAGCUUGACCGAGCGACGCCGCGUGCGGGAUGAAGGCCCUCGGGUUGUAAACCGCUGUCGUAGAGGAGGAAGUGCUUGGGGGUUCUCCCCCAGGUUUGACCUAUUCUAGGAGGAAGUCCGGGCUAAGUUCGUGCCAGCCGCCGCAGUAAUAC
rnacentral:rRNA from 1 species